CCUACGGGUGGCUGCAGUGAGGAAUAUUGGUCAAUGGCCGGAAGGCUGAACCAGCCAUGUCGCGUGAAGGUCAGUGCCCUAUGGGCGUUAAACCUUCUUUGUUCGGGAGCAAUAAUGGUCACGUGUGGCUAGACGAGAGUACCGUACGAAUAAGCAUCGGCUAACUCCGUGCCAGCAGACGCGGUAAUACGGGGGAUGCAAGCGUUAUACGGGUUUAUUGGGUUUAAAGGGGGCGUAGGCCGUGAGGUAAGUUAGCGGGGAAAUGCCCCCGCUCAACGGGGUGGAGUGCCAUUGAUACUGGCUGGCUGGAAUGCGGAUGCCGUGGGAGGAAUGUGUGGUGUAGCGGUGAAAUGCAUAGAUAUCACGCAGAACACCGAUUGCGAAGGCAUCACACGAGU
rnacentral:rRNA from 1 species